ACUUAAAAUUAGUACUAGGUGGCCUUUUGUAAGGUGAUAAAUUUCUUUUUCUUGAAGGAAUGAUAGAUUGGUGAACUAAUUAAACUUUCCAAUAAAUUGUUUUGCAUUUUGCUCUAUUUCACAUAGAAGGCUCACAUGUUUAAAUGCACUGGCAGCUUGAUGUGAUAGGGAUUGAUGAAGCCCAAUUCUUUGUGGAUCUUUACGAUUUUUGCUGCAAUGUUGCUGAUCGUGAUCAGAAAACAGUUAUUGUUGCCGGCUUGGAUGGUGACUACCUUAGAUGGAGAUUUGGUUCAGUGCUUGAUAUCAUUCCGCUAGCUAAUUCAGUCACAAAGCUUACAGCAAGGCGAAAAUAAACUAAUUUGAAUGAGGUGAUGAGACUUGGGUUGACAAUAAAUAAGUACAAUCCUACAUGACAUGAACCAGCAGGU